rnacentral:lncRNA from 1 species
UUGCAACCAAGUUCUGUAUCUGGACAGCCUGAUUGUCGUACCUUCUCACCAACAUUUGGAACAUCCUUCAUACUCAAAAGCAGAACUGUGAAAAUCUGAUGACAGUAUGCAUGAGUAAUUAGGUGUCUCCAGUACUACUGUCAGGCUCCAUUGCCUCCUCACUAGUCCCAUAAAAGUUUCCCAAUUUCUGGGAUCCAGAAUGUUUAUUCUGUUUGCCUCGACCAGGAUUUUCAUGUAUAUCAGGUAUGUUGUCC